GAUAAUUGGGCUCUAAAAUAUGCACACAUCGCCCGUCGCUCUCAUGAUAAAUGAGAUAAGUCGUAACAUAGUAGAUGUAUUGGAAAAUGUAUCUAGAAAGUCA
rnacentral:rRNA from 1 species